CGUCUGUGGGAGGAAGAGUGGAGGAGGAGGCAGGGGAAGAAGGAAGGAGGAAGGGCUGUACUAGGUCACCGGUGAACGUUCUCAGCACACACAGAACUGCAGGGCUGCCCUCCUUCCCAGCUCCUCCCAGAAACAGACAGGUGGGACAGAAGAAAUCCUCAGUGUUGGAAGCUGACCACUAAAACCUGGCUAGAGAGAGCCAGGGUACUCAGGACUUGGGGAAGAGUUGAAGUAUAAUGUUGGAGAAAGACCUUAUGGGGAGCCUCACUUGACUAGAAGAAGAAUUAAUUUUUCCUUGGACCCAGGAAUCUGCUGAGGUGUUCACAGCCGCCUGCGCCUGCCAUGUCAGAUAGUAAAAGUGGUGUGAUGAUGACCAAGUUGGACGUGUCUCCAUAUGGCUGUGAACACUGUGGAUGCCCUCUGCUGCACCUUCUGAAGCGUGAAUGUUUCUUCUUUGGCAAAUGUAGAAUUGAGUAAAUAAACCUUGCCUCAAUGGAGAGAGACAUUUUAGAAUGACCUUCUGUCUGAAAAGUUCAUCCAGAGAGUCAUCACUUUGUACUCCUGAUCAGCGUGCUAAGCAAAGAGCAGCUGUGACUCAGUCUGGUGCACUGAAGAGAUGGUUCCUGGUUCUUUUAAAGGGCACUUGUGUCCAUUUUGCUGCUGUGGACAUCCAUCUUUCCUUAACAUUCCUAAAUUAAAAUUGAAGGCUUUAGGAAGAGUCGUUAUUAUUAUGAAGUUAUAUUAAGAAAUAAUAGCCUUUAAAAUAUAUUAACACAUUCUUAACAAAUGUUAUUGGGACAGGAAAAUAAAGCAAACAAAAAGAUACGAACAGAAGGGAUUCUGUAGGAUUUGUAGUUGAUUCAUUCAUUCUCUUUCUUUCAGACCAUUUCUUUCUGCUCUUUUUCUUCAUCUCUUCCUUCCCUAUCCUUCUCUCCCCUCCCUUCCCCUCCCAUUUCCUUUUCUCUUCUCUCCAACACUGGUUACUGAAAAUGCUUUAUUUAAUGAUUUUGUAAUGUCAGGACAUGCUCUGGCAACCUCUCAAAUACUUGGAAGGAUUAAUAUGAAGGAACAGGCUGGCAGCUUGCUGAAUUCAUUUAAACAACAAAUGCUAUGGAACGAACAAUUUUAAAAAUGAGUGCCAGCUGGUUUUUUAAAGUAACUUUUCUUACUUAACUGAAGACUGAUAUCAAUUGAACUAAUUCAAUGCAGAAGGGCCAUCUUCAUGCUGUUAAGUCCAAAGAAAUGUUGAGUUAUUGGUUUUUGCAAUAGUGGUGUACACAGCCUAUUUCACUCUAUCUUGAUAUCCGUUUUCAUAAAACCAUCACAAGAACCCAGAUAUAAUUCAAAUUCAGUCUGUCCAUUACAUACAGAUUAAAAUCUCAGACAUAAAACCAAAUGUCUGUUUUUUAAAAAUGAAAAACAAUUUUAAUUGACAAGUAAAAAUGAUCUUUACUGAUCACAUACAACACAUCCUUUUGGAAUAUGUAUACAUUGUAAAAUGGCUAAAUUGAGCUAAUUAACUUACUUAUUUUUUAGGGAGUGAGAACACUUAACAUUUCUUAGCAAUUUUCAAGACUAUAAUAUAUUGGUAUUAACUAUAGCCACCAUGUUUUACGAUAGAUCUAUUGAACUUAUUCCUCCUGUCUAACUUAAACUUUGUGUCCUUUGACCAACAUCUCAACUCCCUCCUCGACUACAGUUCCCUGGUAACUACCAUUUUACUCCUUACUUGUAUGAGUUCAAAGUUUUUAGAUUCCAAGUAUAGGUGAGAACAUGCAGUAUUUUUCUGUACCUGGUUUAUUUCACUUAAUAUCUCCUAGAUUUAUCUAUGUUGUCACAAGUGACAACAUUUUUGGUUUUUUUCAGGGUUAAGUAGUACUCCAUUGUGCAUAUAUACCAUAUUUUCUUUAUCCAUUCCUAUGCUGAUGGAUACUUAGUUUGAGUCCAUAUCUUGGCUAUUGUGAAUAAUGCUGUAAUGAACAGGGGAGUGUAGCUAUUUCUUUGACACACUGAUUUCAUUUCCUUUGUACAUGUACCCAGAAGUAGGAUUGCUGGAUCAUAUGGUGGUUCUAUUUUUACUUUUUUGAGGAACCUUUUUACUAUUUCCCAGAAUUACAGCACUAAUUGACAUUCACACUAACAAUGUACAAGAAUUCCCUUUUUUCCACAUCCUCACCAAAAUUUAUCUUUUGUCUUUUUGAUAAUAGUUAUUCUAACAGGUGUGAGGUGAUAUCUCAUUGUGGUUUUAAUUUGCUUUCUCUGAUGAUUAGUGACAUUGGGCAUUUUUCAUAUGCCUGUUGGCCAUUUGUGUGACUUCUUUUGAGAAAUGUUUGUUCAGAUGUGUUUCCUAUUUUUAAAUUGGGUUUUUUGUUUUCUAACUAUUGAGUUGUUUGCGUUCCUUAGAGAUUUUGAACCCUCAUCAGAUGUAUGGUUUGCAAAUGUUUUCUCCCAUCCCAUAGGUCGUCUCUCUACUGUGUUGAUUGUUUCCUUGACUGUGUCCAUUACAGACAAAUUAAAAUCACAGUAAUGAAACCACA